CUUGAGAACUCAGGGCUAAUUCCCCAUAACAUUGCGAAAGGGCAUCCAAUUGCAAUUAAAGAUUCGUCGGUUAGAGAUGGGCGUGCGUUCGAUUAGCUAGUUGGUAAGGUAACGGCUUACCAAGGCAACGAUCGAUAGCUGGUGUGAGAGCACGACCAGCCACACGGGCACUGAGAUACGGGCCCGACUCCCACGGGAGGCAGCAGUAAGGAAUAUUGGUCAAUGGGCGAAAGCCUGAACCAGCCACGCCGCGUGAAGGAUGAAGGUCCUCUGGAUUGUAAACUUCUUUUAUCUAUGAAUAAACGCCUGAUUUCUAUCGGGUUUGAAGGUAAUAGAUGAAUAAGCACCGGCUAACUCCGUGCCAGCAGCCGCGGUAAUACGGAGGGUGCAAGCGUUAUCCGGAUUCACUGGGUUUAAAGGGUGCGUAGGUUGAUAGGUAAGUCAGUGGUGAAAUACUCCGACUCAAUCGGAGAACUGCCGUUGAUACUAUUUAUUCUUGAAUACCGUGGAGGCGGGCGGAAUGCGUCAUGUAGUGGUGAAAAUACUUAGAUAUGACGCAGAACACCCAUUGCGAAGGCAGCUCGCU
rnacentral:rRNA from 1 species